rfam:Tarsius syrichta cont1.9119, whole genome shotgun sequence.
UUAACUUGUUAAUCAUAAAAAUUGCUCUCCAAAAAAGUAUACUGAAACAUCCGGAUGUGAGAUUAUAAUUAAAAAUGAAAGCAAAACAGCCUCUAUGAAAAGAAAUGAAACUAUUAAUUCAAAUGCAGUGGAUAGUUGAUAAUGAAAGUAAAAACACUGGCAUAUAUAGAUAUUGGGAAGUCUUGGGAUUUGCAUUUUAUCACUGACCAUCUGG